GGCUAUUUAUAAAUCUUUGAAAUAUUCACCAAGGAUCAUGUUGCAAGAACUGAUUUCCCAAAAUGAACGCUGCUUUACUUGUGGUAAUAGAGCCAAUGAGGGCAGCAUCUGGACUUGCGUUGAAUGUGAUAACUACGUCUUGUGUGCAAAAUGCUUCGGGCAAUACAGGCACGAACACAUCAUGGAAAAGUUAGAACAGCGGCAGUCCAAAAGUUUAGACAUACUGAAGUUGUUGCUAGACGUUGAAUCUGACAAAAAAAGACCAGUCCAUGCUAAGGAGCACGUUGACGAAAAAAGGCUGUCUCUGGACCAACGUAUCCAGCUGAUGGCGCAUGCUAGUUAUUGUGAAGCCGACAAAUGCCAAGAGUGCACUACUCUGAUUAUUUGUCAAAAAAUGAAAAAAGUGAUGCGACACAAUCAGGCCUGCCAAGAGAAGAGCAGUGGUAAUUGUUUCAUGUGUCAACAGUUACACAUUGUUUUUUGUUACCACGCUCAACAAUGCAAAGAACUGAAGUGCCCAGUACCUACGUGCUUGAAGACACAGCAGGAGCACAAAAGAGCGACAGCAGAAACA